GAGGGUACAGCUCCAUGGUAGAGCACAUGCUUAGCAUGCACAAGGUCCUGGGUUCAACUUCCAGUACUUCCA
rnacentral:tRNA from 1 species